ACCAGAGAAUAGAAGAAGAAGAAGAUCAUCAAAGCGUGUCGGGAACAACACAAACGGAUCGAACCGAAACACACAAACCGUACUGAAGUCUAAACCAAACCAAACCAAAUCAAUUAAACAGCGAGGCAUAUCUAUCUAGCUUCAGGUUCAGGACGCCUUCGAAAAGCUUAGUUUCUCUCCACUUCAGAAGUGUACAUCAGCUAUUCGCGUCUUGGCAUAUGAUUCUGCGGCUGAUGCUGUUGACGAAUACUUCCGACUCGAUGCAACGACAGCUCGGUUAUGUGUAGAACAUUUUGUGGAAUGAAUAAUAUAUUUAUUCGGCGAUGAGUAUCUAAGAAGACCAACACCGGCUGAUCUUCAACGUCUACUUUAUAUUGGUGAGCAACGUGGAUUUUCCGGGAUGACAGGAAGCAUCGAUUGUAUGCAUUAGGAGUAGAAGAAUUAUCCCACCGCUUGGAAAGGUCAAUAUUCACGUGGUUUGGGUAAACCCACAAUCGUGUCAGAGGCGGUUGCUUCGUAUGAUUUAUGGAUAUGACAUGCGUUUUUUGGACCUACAGGUACCUUAAGUGAUAUCAAUCUUCUUGAUCGCUCACUUGUUUUUGAUGACAUGUCAAGCUCCGCAAGUUAUUUUCUCUGUCAAUGGAAGAGAGUAUCAUUUGGCUUACUAUGUCAACAAUGGUAUUUAUCUGAAAUGAGCAACUUUUAUCCAAUCUAUUCCAAUACCACAAGAUCCAAAAGCAGCUUUAUUUGUUCAACAUCAAGAAACUCUCCGAAAAUAUGUCGAGCGUGCUUUUGGAGUGUUGCAAGCUCGAUUUGCCAUUGUUAAAAUCCAGCAAUUUUUUGGGAUAAAGGCAAAAUUGGAAAGAUUAUGAGAGCAUAUAUUAUAUUCCAUAAUAUGAUAGUAGAAGACGAAUGAGAUGGAUAUACUCAUUUUGAUGUUUCAGAGUUUCAACAAGGAGAAGACACUGAAACUUCACAUGUCGAUCUCACGUAUUCUACAGAUGUCCCUUCAAAUAUCGCCUAUAUGAUGGGUGUUCGAACUAGAAUUCAUGAUAGACAAAUGCAUCAACAACUGAAAGCUGAUUUGGUUGAAAAUAUAUGGCGUAAAUUUGGACGUGAAGAAGACAACAAUCAAGCUCAGAUGUUUCUUUCAAAUUUUUCUCGUUUAUUUUAUUAAUCCUUGUUUUUAUGUUUUAAUUUAAAAAUCUAUGUAUAAAAUGUUAUCUUUUAAUAUGUUUUAUUAAAUAAAUAAAUUUUAUCUUAAAAAAAUGUUUAAUAUUUUUUUUAAGAACUUUAGUUAAGAAACUCCCAUUGGACCACUUAAAAUGAGAGUUUCUUAACUAAAGUUCUUAGAUUACUUUUAUUAUUUAAAAAGUCAUUAAGAAACUCAUUAGACCAUUUCCAAUGGUUUACUCUAUUUUUUCUCUAAAAUAGAGUAACUCUAUAAUAGAGUUGGAUGUUGCUCCAAUGGUACUCUAUUUUAGAGUGAAAAAUAGAGUGAUGAACAAAAAAUAAAAAAUUACUCAAUAUAUAGAGUAAAAAAUAGAUUUAGACUAUUAUAGAGUAUAAAAUAAAGUACCACCGGAGCAUUUUUACUUUAAACUCUAUUUUAGAGGAGAAAAUAGAGUACGAUUAGAGAUGCUCUUAGGGUGCAGUUUUUUAAAUGUGUUUCUUCCCCUUAGACCAUCUACAAGGAGAUUCUAUUUUUUCUUAUAUAGUUUACACAAAAAUAGAAUAACUCUAUUAUAGUGUAAUUUUUGCUCCAAUGGUAUUCAAUAUUGGAGCAAAAAUUACACUAUAAUAGAGUUACUCUAUUUUUGUGUAAAUUAUAAAGAAAAAAAUAGAAUUCCAUUGAAGAUACCCUUAAACACAUCAAAAUGUAGUGACAAUAGAGAGAGUGUCAGAAUAGUUUCUUAAAAGGGUGAAUUGGGCCAAUAUCGUCUAAGAAGUAACAAAUUAGGCAAAUGCCUAUGACACAAAAACUGUGGGGAUUCGAAAUGAUCCAAGAUAGAGAAAAUGUCAAAACUGUCCUUAUGCUGAUAAGAAAGAUAUUUAUGAAAAAACCGGUGAUAGUAGGUUAGAAGGUAAAUGGAAUUAAAAAGAAAAUAAUUAUAGGGAAAAGGCUUAAUGAUUAACCUAGUACUAAUAGUAGCUUCCUCACUGUAUCGACAUAAUUUCGGAAUGCCCCUCAGCCUUUCUCCUCGACGACGUCUCCAAUUCCCUCCGCUUAAAAUCUGGGACCUCACUGAUUAGGGUAAAGGAGAAAGAAACAAUAUUCAGGCAAAUGCUCCAAUUACCUGAAACGGAGGACAAGCUUGGAUUCGUGGAGUGCGACAUUUUUCUUGCAAGAUUUACGAUAAAACGAUUCAACGGCGGAUAUAGGUGAACAAUUUGACGGUGUCUACAAACCCAAGUAAUGGGAAGAAAAAAAGCAGAACGACGACGUAUGGACAAAAUGACACAUCUUCUAGGGUUUCAGCUCAAGAGAAUUGAAGCCCAAUAAAAAUUCAAACUUGCGAUUGGCACUUUAAUUUGUGUGUAUAUCUAAUGUUGUAGUGUUAGCCAGCUAAUAUGGAGAAUAUACA